CCGCACGUUACGAGGCGGACAUGUUUGUUACUGGCAACGGGUAACGGGUUUAUGGUCGUGUGGUGCCAUCUACUGGGGUAAUACAGGCGUAUUGCGAGCAGAACCUGCAAACCAAGAAGCACAAGACCGGAUACAGAAUGCACCACACACACGAAGGCUGACAAACACAGCAUUAAGGAGAAGCUCACAUGCGACACAACUGGGGUCUUCUACCUUCCACAAUGUCUGUAGGAAGAAGAGUAGGAAACCUCAAGACAAGAAUAGCUGAACCCAUAAGAAGCACUAUAAAUAUGACCACAGCAUCUAAGAAUACUUCAGUCAAUUCCAUAACCACGAUUCAGCAGGCCUCACCUUCAUCGUGAUCAGAAAGCAGAGAAGGCACAGUGAGGAGGACACCAGAAGUCUCUCAAGAGAAGGUGCUAGAUGGAUCUUUAACCCAGGAACACUGACACCAAGAGGCCUCAUCGUUGAGCUUGAGUUUAGGCCUUUCCUGGCCUCUCAGCAACAUAAAAAGCUGUUCACGUAAUAUCCGUUGAAACUAUACUCCAUAAAUCAGCAUUUUAUAAGCUUACCUCUGCACCAGAAUUAGUAUGUACAAUUGUCAAGUGCAUAGGGAAGCGAUACUAGAGGAAUGCCAUCGAAACGUGUCGGUUUUCUGCGGCUUUAACAGAUAUACUGGCCUUUUUGUUGCCGAGUUUACAGGGAAAUGACAAAAGGAAUAUGAACAUCGCAAGUAUCCAAUCCCAUGUGAAUAUAAAGUAUAUUACCAUCAUUGAACAAGCUUUUUUUAUAUUUGUUCAGCUAAACUUCCAAAAUAUACAUUGCGAAUUAUAGUUUACUGAUGGGAGCUGACAUUUAUUCCACAAGCAAAAUGUAUUUCAGAUUCAAAUAUUUGUAUCUAUAUCAUGUCAAAUUCCAAGCUAAAAAAGGCUGUAAAUAGUUCAAGCUACUCAGUACUUGUUUAUAAAGCAACAACUAAGAUAUAUAUUGUUUGUAUGAUUUAGCAUAGCUCUUUGGGGUAAUUUAAUUCAGUGCAAUCGCCCCGAAUGUUGCCUUACAACUUUGAGACGGAAAGCACUUCACAACCAGCAUCUGCAGUAAUUUUCCCACACACAUCCUAAUUAGCUCGGAUUGGGUAGCGUACUGGACAUUAAUGUACACAUGUACUGUAGGUACCUACGAAUGUUCGGCGGCACAUAACGCAGAUUUCAAUCACCCCCUUUGUGUACUUAAUUUAUAGAAUAAAAUUAUCUAAACUCCUAUACUUUCUCCCCUAAAUGCCUAUCUUUGUAUCUUUGAACAGGUAAUAAUCAUACAACAUAGUAAAACAUUAAAUAAUCAAUUAUCACCAGCAUUCCGUUUCGUUAGCUGACGUUGUUACAUAAGUGCUCCAGCGUUACCCUUGUUGACAGCAAUCCAAUUGUUACAUCUUGUCUACCCAUUGUACUGAUUACUGGUGUGUCUUCAGGUCAGGAUUGUGUUAAUGCCAAGUAUAAAUAAAUUCUGGUGUACUUGUAUACCGCUGCUACUGCUUUAUAAGUAAAUAACAUGCUCUAUUAUUAUUCCUACAGCGUGCGCACAAGUCAUUUACAUUGUGCCACUUAAUGUGCCAUUUUGUACUGCCAGGGUGUACUUGGGUUCUUUAUACUGUUUCCCUAUGUGCACAAUACAGUAUAUACUGUGGCAGGGACCGCAUGAUUCCACAUGAGGUUAAUGUGGAACAGCAGGCUUUUGCAAAAUUGGAGCAGCAGCAAUAGGCCUGAUGGAAUCCAGUCUGGGUUUUAGCUGAGUCUGUUGUAAGCCACAGCUGUGCUAAUUACUACAACUUGUCUGCUACCUUUAAAAAUGUCUUUGUUCAGUAGGUCAGUGCUCCUGAUGCCAGCAAGUGGCCAGGCGAUAGGUUGGGGUCUGGGCUUACGUUAGGAGCCAUUUGGAAUUUGUACUCUUUUUAUUUUUUAUAAUUUGGAAUGUUGUGCUGCUGUUUAAAGGUUACCUGUAAAAUCUGACCUGCAAAACCUGCAUGUACUGUGUAACCUGCCU